rnacentral:rRNA from 1 species
AUUGAACGCUGGCGGCAUGCCUAACACAUGCAAGUCGAACGGCAGCACGGCAGUAGCAAUACUGUGGGUGGCGAGUGGCGGACGGGUGAGGAAUACGUCGGAAUCUGCCCAGUCGUGGGGGAUAACUAGCCGAAAGGUUAGCUAAUACCGCAUACGACCGAGAGGUGAAAGCGGGGGACCGCAAGGCCUCGCGCGAUUGGAUGAGCCGACGUCGGAUUAGCUAGUUGGAGGGGUAAAGGCCACCAAGGCGACGAUCCGUAGCUGGUCUGAGAGGAUGAUCAGCCACACUGGAACUGAGACACGGUCCAGACUCCUACGGGAGGCAGCAGUGGGGAAUAUUGGACAAUGGGCGCAAGCCUGAUCCAGCAAUGCCGCGUGUGUG